rnacentral:rRNA from 1 species
GACGAACGCUGGCGGCGUGCUUAACACAUGCAAGUCGAACGGAAAGGCCCUGCUUGCCGGGUACUCGAGUGGCGAACGGGUGAGUAACACGUGGGUGGUCUGCCCUGCACUUCGGGAUAAGCCUGGGAAACUGGGUCUAAUACCGGACAGGAGCUAUUUUUAGUGUGAUGGUUGGAUAGUUUUUUCGGUGUAGGAUGAGCCCGCGGCCUAUCUGCUUGUUGGUGUGGUAAUGUCCUACCAAGGCGGCGUCGGGUAGCAGGCCUGAGAGGGUGGACGGCCACAUUGGGACUUAGAGACGGCCCAGACACGUACUGUAGGCAGCAGUGGGGAAGAUUGCACAAGGGGCGCAAGCCGGAUGCAGCGACUCCGCGUAGGGGAUGACUGCCUUCGGGUUGUAAACUCCAUUCGCUAGUGACGAAGCUUUUUGUGACGGUACCUAGAUAAGAAGCACCGGCUAACUACGUG